CCUACGGGAGGCAGCAGUGAGGAAUAUUGGUCAAUGGGCGAGAGCCUGAACCAGCCAAGUCGCGUGAAGGAUGAAGGCCCUACGGGUGGUAAACUUCUUUUGUCAGGGAGAAAUUGGGUCCACGCGUGGGCUUAGCGAGUGUACCUGAAGAAAAAGCAACGGCUAACUCCGUGCCAGCAGCCGCGGUCAUACGGAGGACGCGAGCGUUAGCCGGAUUGAAUGGGUUAAAGGGGUGCGUAGGCGGAAUAUCAAGUCAGCGGUAAAAAUUCGGGGCUCAACCCCGUCGUGCCGUUGAAACUGGUGUUCUUGAGUGGGCGAGAGGUAUGCGGAAUGCGUGGUGUAGCGGUGAAAUGCAUAGAUAUCACGCAGAACUCCGAUUGCGAAGGCAGCAUACCGGCGCCCAACUGACGCUGAAGCACGAAAGCGUGGGUAUCGAACAGGAUUAGAUACCCUGGUAGUC
rnacentral:rRNA from 1 species